rnacentral:rRNA from 1 species
GAGAUCGGGAUAACACCUGGAAACAGAUGCUAAUACCGGAUAACAACAGAUGAUGCCUAUCAACUGUUUAAAAGGAUGGUUCUGCUAUCACUCUUGGAUGGACCUGCGGUGCAUUAGCUAGUUGGUAGGGUAACGGCCUACCAAGGCGAUGAUGCAUAGCCGAGUUGAGAGACUGAUCGGCCACAUUGGGACUGAGACACGGCCCAAACUCCUACGGGAGGCAGCAGGC